GACGAACGCUGGCGGCGUGCCUAAUACAUGCAAGUAGAACGCACAGUUUAUACCGUAGCUUGCUACACCAUAGACUGUGAGUUGCGAACGGGUGAGUAACGCGUAGGUAACCUGCCUGGUAGCGGGGGAUAACUAUUGGAAACGAUAGCUAAUACCGCAUAAUAUUAAUUAUUGCAUGAUAAUUAAUUGAAAGGUGCAAUUGCACCACUACCAGAUGGACCUGCGUUGUAUUAGCUAGUAGGUGAGGUAACGGCUCACCUAGGCGACGAUACAUAGCCGACCUGAGAGGGUGAUCGGCCAAACUGGGACUGAGACACGGCCCAGACUCCUACGGGAGGCAGCAGUAGGGAAUCUUCGGCAAUGGACGAAAGUCUGACCGAACAACGCCGCGUGAGUGAAGAAGGUUUUCGGAUCGUAAAGCUCUGUUGUAAGAGAAGAACGGGUGUGAGAGUGGAAAGUUCACACUGUGACGGUAUCUUACCAGAAAGGGACGGCUAACUACGUG
rnacentral:rRNA from 1 species